CCUACGGGUGGCAGCAGUGGGGAAUAUUGGGCAAUGGAGGAAACUCUGACCCAGCAACGCCGCGUGAAUGAUGACGGUCUUCUGAUUGUAAAGCUCUUUUCUUAGGGAAGAAGAACGUGACGGUACCUUACAAAUAAGCCUCGGCUAACUACGUGCCAGCAGCCGCGGUAAUACGUAGGAGGCGAGCGUUAUGCGGAGUGACUGGGUGUAAAGGGUGCGUAGGUGGUUUGGCAAGUUAGUAGCGUAACUCCAAGGCUUAACCUGGGAACUACUACUAAGACUGUUGGACUAGAGUGCAGGAGGGGCAAGCGGAAUGCCUGGUGUAGCGGUGGAAUGCGUAGAUAUUAGGAAGAACACCGGUGGCGAAGGCAGGUUGCUAGACUGUAACUGACACUGAGGCACGAAAGCGUGGGGAGCAAACAGGAUUAGAUACCCCUGUAGUC
rnacentral:rRNA from 1 species